rnacentral:ribozyme from 1 species
UGCCCAGCAAUUCCUAUCCCUACCUCCUAAGAGUACUGGCCGGGGUACGAGCAACCUUAAAGAAUACCGGGUAAUCAAUUCCGGUGCGAAUUUUGGUCAUAUGCUGGCAGGGAAGG